rnacentral:lncRNA from 1 species
CCAAAACUUAAUCUUAGUCAACCCUUUGUAGUAUGGAACCUUGCGGUACAAUGUCAGAGAGAUCCAUAUACUUACACAAACGUAUUGUCUGGUAACUAUAAAGAUAUUGCCCCUAAUUCCUAAACUGUUGGUACCAUAACCACCAAAAUAAAUCCCCACCUUUCGUUUGUGCCAGUUCUUGUCCGAUAACCUUAUGAGUCUUCGGACGACGACGACGACGAAAUCAUAGCAUUAUUUGAACCCAUAAAACAUUUUGAGGUCGUAUUAAGUCAAAUUACAAAUGUGAGAGCACUCAAAAAUCUUGCAAGACUAAAAUAAUCUUAUGUAUCUAAGUCAUGUUUAAUUUGCAAAUAAAAAAGGUAACUUAAUUUGUGUAAAAAGUGAAAUAACAAAAAUACUG